rnacentral:piRNA from 1 species
UGCUCUCUGGCCCAGGCUCUGUUGAAG